UUAGAUCAGAAGCGAGAAUGUUGACAUGAGUAGCGACAAACAGGGCGAGAAACCCUGUCGCCGAAAGUCCAAGGGUUCCUGCUUAAAGCUAAUCUGAGCAGGGUAAGCCGGCCCCUAAGGCGAGGCCGAAAGGCGUAGUCGAUGGGAACCAGGUUAAUAUUCCUGGGCCAGGAGGAUGUGACGGAUCUCGAAGGUUGUCUGCCCUUAUCGGAUUGGGUGGGCCGCUCAGAGGUUCCUGGAAAUAGCCCUCCAUCAGACCGUACCCUAAACCGACACAGGUGGACUGGUAGAGUAUACCAAGGCGCUUGAGAGAACCACGUUAAAGGAACUCGGCAAAAUACUCCCGUAAGUUCGCGAGAAGGGAGCCCCGUCUGUAGGCAACUGUGGGCGGGGGGCACAAACCAGGGGGUGGCGACUGUUUACUUAAAACACAGGGCUGUGCGAAGCCGUAAGGCGACGUAUACAGUCUGACGCCUGCCCGGUGCUGGAAGAUUAAGAGGAGGGGUGCAAGCUCUGAAUUGAAGUCCCAGUAAACGGCGGCCGUAACAAUAACGGUCCUAAGGUAGCGAAAUUCCUUGUCGGGUAAGUUCCGACCUGCACGAAUGGCGUAACGAUCUCCCCGCUGUCUCUAACGUGGACUCAGCGAAAUUGAACUGUGUGUCAAGAUGCACACUACCCGCGGUUAGACGGAAAGACCCCAUGAACCUUUACUCCAGCUUCGCACUGGUAUCAGGAUUGUGAUGUGCAGGAUAGGUGGUAGGCAUCGAAGCGGGGACGCCAGUCUUCGUGGAGCCUCCCUUGAGAUACCACCCUUCGCCAUCUUGAUAUCUAACCGCGGCCCGUCAUCCGGGUCCGGGACCCUGCAUGGUGGGGAGUUUGACUGGGGCGGUCGCCUCCCAAACAGUAACGGAGGCGCGCGAUGGUUGGCUCAGACCGGUCGGAAAUCGGUCGUUGAGUGCAAUGGCAGAAGCCAGCCUGACUGCGAGACUGACAAGUCGAGCUGAGACGAAAGUCGGUCAUAGUGAUCCGGUGGUCCCAAGUGGGAGGGCCAUCGCUCAACGGAUAAAAGGUACUCUGGGGAUAACAGGCUGAUGAUGCCCAAGAGUCCAUAUCGACGGCAUCGUUUGGCACCUCGAUGUCGGCUCAUCUCAUCCUGGGGCUGGAGCAGGUCCCAAGGGUACGGCUGUUCGCCGUUUAAAGAGGUACGUGAGCUGGGUUUAGAACGUCGUGAGACAGUUCGGUCCCUAUCUGCCGUGGGUGCAGGAGACUUGAGAAGAGUUGACCCUAGUACGAGAGGACCGGGUUGAACGAACCACUGGUGGACCAGUUGUCGUGCCAACGGCAGUGCUGGGUAGCUAUGUUCGGACAGGAUAACCGCUGAAGGCAUCUAAGCGGGAAGCCCCCUUCAAAACAAGGUCUCCCUUGAGGGCCGUGGAAGACCACCACGUCGAUAGGCCAGAGGUGUAA
rnacentral:rRNA from 1 species